rnacentral:snRNA from 1 species
GUGCCCACUUUGGUAGCACAUGUACUGAAAUUGGAACGAUACAGAGAAGAUUAGCAUGGUUCCUGAGCAAGGAUGACAUGCAAAUUCAUGAAGCAUUCCAUUAUUUU